rnacentral:lncRNA from 1 species
GAAGAGUCAGAACUGACUAGAGGGAGAGUAAGAAGCACCACCACAGUUGAAGGGAUGAGCUAUGGCUUCCACCGCCUCCGCUCUCACCACCACCACCUCCUCCUCCAAUGUCGCCACCCCUUUUCUGUAUCUCCGCCGCACUCAUAUCUCCCACUUCACCUCUAAUUUCAGGUAUAUUUCACCUCUAAAUCCAAAACCCCAUUGUUGGAUUUUUGGUCCUCACAGCCAUUAUGUGUCUUUCAGACUGUUUCAAGCUCGAAGAUUCAGUUUUAGUGUUUGUUUCCC